UGCAAGUCGAGCGGAAGGCCCUUCGGGGUACUCGAGCGGCGAACGGGUGAGUAACACGUGAGCAACCUGCCCCAGGCUUUGGGAUAACCCCGGGAAACCGGGGCUAAUACCGAAUAUGACCUCUGACCGCAUGGUUGGUGGUGGAAAGUUUUUCGGCUUGGGAUGGGCUCGCGGCCUAUCAGCUUGUUGGUGGGGUGAUGGCCUACCAAGGCGACGACGGGUAGCCGGCCUGAGAGGGCGACCGGCCACACUGGGACUGAGACACGGCCCAGACUCCUACGGGAGGCAGCAGUGGGGAAUAUUGCACAAUGGGCGGAAGCCUGAUGCAGCGACGCCGCGUGAGGGAUGACGGCCUUCGGGUUGUAAACCUCUUUCAGCAGGGACGAAGCGUAAGUGACGGUACCUGCAGAAGAAGCGCCGGCCAACUACGUGCCAGCAGCCGCGGUAAGACGUAGGGCGCGAGCGUUGUCCGGAUUUAUUGGGCGUAAAGAGCUCGUAGGCGGCUUGUCGCGUCGACCGUGAAAACUUGGGGCUCAACCCCAAGCCUGCGGUCGAUACGGGCAGGCUAGAGUUCGGUAGGGGAGACUGGAAUUCCUGGUGUAGCGGUGAAAUGCGCAGAUAUCAGGAGGAACACCGGUGGCGAAGGCGGGUCUCUGGGCCGAUACUGACGCUGAGGAGCGAAAGCGU
rnacentral:rRNA from 1 species